CCUACGGGAGGCAGCAGUGGGGAAUAUUGCGCAAUGGGCGAAAGCCUGACGCAGCGACGCCGCGUGAGGGAUGAAGGUCUUCGGAUCGUAAACCUCUGUCAGCAGGGAAGAACGGUCACUGUGCUAAUCAGCAGUGAAUUGACGGUACCUGCAAAGGAAGCACCGGCUAACUCCGUGCCAGCAGCCGCGGUAAUACGGAGGGUGCGAGCGUUAAUCGGAAUUACUGGGCGUAAAGCGCUCGUAGGCGGUAUGUCAAGUCAAGGGUGAAAUCCCCGGGCUCAACGUGGGAACUGCCUUUGAAACUGGCAGACUGGAGUGUGUGAGAGGAGAGUGGAAUUCCAGGUGUAGGAGUGAAAUCCGUAGAUAUCUGGAGGAACAUCAGUGGCGAAGGCGACUAUCUGGCACGUAACUGACGCUGAGGAGCGAAAGCGUGGGUAGCAAACAGGAUUAGAUACCCCAGUAGUC
rnacentral:rRNA from 1 species